GCCCAGUGAUGAGACCAAGGCGAAUACGAGCUAACUGAAUGAGAGCUGGGUUCUUCUUGCCUUGACUGGCAGGUAAUCUUGGCAGUGCAGAGGAGAAUUCCUGCUCUGCUGUAAGGGCCUGCCUACAAUGAUUUGGCUCGACCCAAAUGAUUCCCUCAAAGUUACAAUGGAGUAAUCACAGGGAUGAAGCUGACAGUGUGUGUGUGUGUGUGUCCGCGUGCGUGUUCGUGUGUGUUUACAUUUGUGUACAUGUGUGAAAGGCAAGGAGUUCACCCAGCUCUCUUUGCUGUUCAGUCAGCCAUGAGUUGCUUCUUUGGUAAUCUGAGGCC